AUAAUGUCCACAUAAGCUCCUUCUGCCGAUCCUUGGAGCUUAUGAGGAUCGGCAGAAGGAGCUUAUGAGGACAUUAUUUUGAUCAUUUUAUAAUUUUUUUUAUUUUUUAUUA